rnacentral:rRNA from 1 species
GACUGAGCCUGGCCCCCNUGACGAUGCAUCUAGCUCUAUGGCUNAGUCAGCUCGUGUCGUGAGAUGUUCGGGUUAAGUCCCGCAACGAGCGCAACCCUUGUCCGCUGUUAGCCAUCACGUUAUGGUAGGGCACUCUGCGGAGACUUGCCGGAUGAUAAACCGGAGGAAGGUAGGGGAUGACGUCAAUGUCAGCAUGGCCUAUUAUGAUCUGGGGCUACACACGUGCUACAAUGGCCGAUACAAACCGUCGACGAUACCGCAAGGUGGAGCUAAUCGGAGAAAGUCGGUCUCAGUUCGGAUUGCAGGCUGCAACUCNCCUGCAUGAAGUAGGAAUCGCUAGUAAUCGCAGGAUCAGCACGCCGCGGUGAAUACGUUACCGGGCCUUGUACAAACCAACCCGUAANAUCGGGAUCCCCGGGACCCGUUCGGACUGGCANGAGNGNCUUGCAUGCAAGCUUUUCCCAUAAUNGUCGAGUACGGAAUUAAAGAAGCUAUGNGACGUCAAUCACUAGGUCAUAAGCCUGUAUUCCCUNGUAGUUGAAAAAUANUGUUAAUCCCAGCUUCAACAAAUUCCACACCAUCCAAGCAACUUAACCUGGAAAGACCCCGGAAACCGCACUUACANACGCUCGGUACACAUGACACCAUAG